UAGGGAAUCUUCCACAAUGGACGCAAGUCUGAUGGAGCAACGCCGCGUGAGUGAAGAAGGUUUUCGGAUCGUAAAGCUCUGUUGUUGGUGAAGAAGGAUAGAGGUAGUAACUGGCCUUUAUUUGACGGUAAUCAACCAGAAAGUCACGGCUAACUACGUGCCAGCAGCCGCGGUAAAUACGUAGGUGGCAAGCGUUGUCCGGAUUUAUUGGGCGUAAAGCGAGCGCAGGCGGAAGAAUAAGUCUGAUGUGAAAGCCCUCGGCUUAACCGAGGAAUUGCAUCGGAAACUGUUUUCUUGAGUGCAGAAGAGGAGAGUGGAACUCCAUGUGUAGCGGUGGAAUGCGUAGAUAUAUGGAAGAACACCAGUGGCGAAGGCGGCUCUCUGGUCUGCAACUGACGCUGAGGCUCGAAAAGCAUGGGUAGCGAACAGGAUUAGAUACCCUGGUAGUCCAUGCCGUAAAACGAUGAGUGCUAAGUGUUGGGAGGUUUCCGCC
rnacentral:rRNA from 1 species